rnacentral:rRNA from 1 species
AUUUGUCUGGUUAAUUCCGAUAACGAACGAGACCUUAACCUGCUAACUAGAUACUUUUAUUCUAUAAUUGUCAUCUUCUUAGAGGGACUAUGUAAUUAAAAUACAUGGAAGUUUGAGGCAAUAACAGGUCAGUGAUGCCCUUAUAUGUCCUGGGCUGCACGCGUGCUACACUGAUGCAUACAACAAGUGCCUAACCAGACAUGGUACGGCAAUCUCGAAUAUGCAUCGUGAUGGGGAUAGAUCUUUGCAAUUAUAGAUCUUGAACGAGGAAUUCCUAGUAAGUGCAAGUCAUCAUCUUGCAUUGAUUAUGUCCCUGCCCUUUGUACACACCGCCCGUCGCUCCUACCGAUACCGGGUGAUCCGGUGAACCUUUUGGACUCAUUGAGAAAGAUAAGUAAACCAUAUCACCUAGAGGAAGGAGAAGUCGUAACAAGGUUUCCGUAGGUGAACCUGCRGAAGGAUCA